GAGUUUGAUCAUGGCUCAGAUUGAACGCUGGCGGAAUGCUUUACACAUGCAAGUCGAACGGCAGCACGGGUGCUUGCACCUGGUGGCGAGUGGCGAACGGGUGAGUAAUACAUAGGAACAUACCCAGUAAUGGGGGAUAACGCCGAGAAAUCGGUGCUAAUACCGCAUACGCCCUACGGGGGAAAGCGGGGGAUCUUCGGACCUCGCGUUAUUGGAUUGGCCUAUGUCUGAUUAGCUAGUUGGUGAGGUAAAGGCUCACCAAGGCUUCGAUCAGUAGCUGGUCUGAGAGGAUGAUCAGCCACACUGGAACUGAGACACGGUCCAGACUCCUACGGGAGGCAGCAGUGGGGAAUUUUGGACAAUGGGCGAAAGCCUGAUCCAGCCAUUCCGCGUGAGUGAAGAAGGCCUUCGGGUUGUAAAGCUCUUUCGGCAGGAACGAAAUGGUCACGGUUAAUAACUGUGACUUCCGACGGUACCUGAAGAAGAAGCACCGGCUAACUACGUGCCAGCAGCCGCGGUAAUACGUAGGGUGCGAGCGUUAAUCGGAAUUACUGGGCGUAAAGCGUGCGCAGGCGGUUUUGUAAGUCAGAUGUGAAAGCCCCGGGCUUAACUGGGA
rnacentral:rRNA from 1 species